UGCCCAACGCUCAGUCGAUGGCGAAUGCAUUUGAACGACGUAGCAGUAGUUGCAGUAGUAGCAUGGUAGCAGCUCGCGGGAAGAUCCGGACAGAACGCGAAAGCGUGCAUUGAAGCGAACGUUGAUUGAAGCCACAGCCGGUUUUGGAGGCCGCCAUUCCGUUCCCCACUGCCCGCCGAACGUGCCAACUUUGCGCGACCGCCGCGCCUUGGUUUUCGACGCCGCGAAAUGACCGGGUGUUGUGUGCCGUUCUGUUCGAACAACUCCAGAAACGGUUGGAGGACGUUUCGCUUUCCGAGAGAUCCGAAAAGAAGACUUCAGUGGAUCGCGAACGUCAAGCGCGAUAACUGGCUCCCGAAAGACACGUCCAGCGUGUGCCAAAGGAAAGCUUCGAACAACACCGCGCCGAUGGCUGGAAGAAGCUAAAGCCUAAUGCUGUGCCGACGCUUUUCCCGCGGAAGGAGCCUGCUCGCGGUAGAAAGUCGCGGAAACUUUCAACAGGAGCAGCAGCGCCAUCUGAAGCGAACGACGGUUCGACUCCCACCGAAGGACCCGCAGGCCUCGUGUCGACGGAGGCGGAGGUACACCUGCUGCCGUCCUCCAAUGGCGACGAUACGUCUCCUCGGCGGAGCAGCCGCAUCAGGACACGGACACGGCCAGCCAAGACAAGGAGGACGCCGCGGCGCACGACCGCUACGAAAGUGUCGGACGCGCCGAAAGCUGUACCGCUAGAGUCUCCUUGUUCAAAAAGUGCCUGCGUCGAAUCUCGAGAACAGCUGGCGGUCAUGAUCAGGAGGCACGAUGAACUCGUGGAAGCCUACGGCGUUGCGAACUCGACCGUUGAGACGCUUAGGAGUAGGGUCGAGGAAUUGGAGAACACCGUGGAAAUCCUUCGACAGCGUCUACAGCCUCGCGAAAGUGGAGACUUUCAACCGUCGCCGUGAGAUAUAUGAACCAAAGAAGUUUGUACAUUCAAUAAAGCUGCCGCUUAAGUUUCCUGCAGGG
rnacentral:misc_RNA from 1 species